CCUACGUGCGGCAGCAGUGAGGACUAUUUGUCAAUGGGCGCGAGCCUGAACCAGCCAAGUAGCGUGAAGGAUGACUGCCCUACGGGUUGUAAACUUCUUUUAUAAAGGAAUAAAGUGAGGCCCGUGUGCCUUUUUGUAUGUACUUUAUGAAUAAGGAUCGGCUAACUCCGUGCCAGCAGCCGCGGUAAUACGGAGGAUCCGAGCGUUAUCCGGAUUUAUUGGGUUUAAAGGGAGCGUAGAUGGGUUGUUAAGUCAGUUGUGAAAGUUUGCGGCUCAACCGUAAAAUUGCAAUUGAUACUGGCAGUCUUGAGUACAGUUGAGGUAGGCGGAAUUCGUGGUGUAGCGGUGAAAUGCUUAGAUAUCACGAAGAUCUCCGAUUGCGAAGGCAGCUUACUAAACUGCCACUGACAUUGAUGCUCGAAAGUGUGGGUAUCAAACAGGAUUAGAUACCCUAGUAGUC
rnacentral:rRNA from 1 species